CUAAAAUGAUGAAUGAGACACAGCUGCUGCCUUCAAGGGGUGGAUAAUCUAUUACAGCAAAGGAAGACCGUGACAGGAAGUAGUGUGUGAUAGGCUGAGAGAGAAAACAAAAGGGGCCUUCAAAGAGAGUGCGCCUCUAGCCUUGGGAACAACCAACAGACUUUGUGCAGGUGGCGGAGAGAGAGAAAUGGAUCAGUGAAAGGCACAGACAGAAGGAGAAGCAGCGGGAGGAACCAUAGAUCUGGAUGUAUUGACAUGACAUUGUCCACAUUAGGUUGGUUUGUGCUUUGUCUUUUUUAUUUUUUGAACGGAGUCUUGUUCUGUCACCUAGGCUGGAGUGCAGUGGCAUGAUUUUGGCUCACUGCAGCCUCCGCCUCCCAGGUUCAGGUGAUUCUCCUGCCUCAGCCUCCUGAGUAGCUGAAAUUACAGGCACGUGACACCACACCCACCUAAUUCAUAUUAUGUUGUUAAAUGGGAAAAAAAGUAUGCAUAUUUUAUAUCUUAUACAACAGGAUGAUUUCAUCUUUGUUAAAAAUUAUAUAAAAUUCUAGCAAGAACUACAACAAAAUUUAACUCUAGGCUCUGAUACUUCAGGUAACUUUUACUUUCUUCCACAUCCACAUUUAUAUUGUGAGCACUUCUUCCCCCAAGAACUUGCAUGAUUUUGUAAGCAGAAAACACAGCAAAGCUAAUUUCCUUUGUGUUUAAAAGAGAAGGGAGCCAACAGCACAAAUGCCUUAGGCAGUUCACCCAGAAAGAUGAUGACUGGGGAGAAAAAUGGGUAAAUGGAAUGACUAGCAGGUUGAUGUGGCCUUUAAGAGUGGAGUUUUAAUUUUCAGCGAUGGAAGUGGAAUUCAUAUGAAGCCUUGGGUUGUUAAGAUUUUGCAACUAA
rnacentral:lncRNA from 10 species